UGGGGACUAUUGGACAAUGGGCGCAAGCCUGAUCCAGCCAUGCCGCGUGAGUGAUGAAGGCCCUAGGGUUGUAAAGCUUCUUCACCGGUGAAGAUAACGACGGUAACAGGAGAAGAAGCCCCGGCUAACUUCGUGCCAGCAGCCGCGGUAAUACGAAGGGGGCUAGCGUUGUUCGGAUUUACUGGGCGUAAAGCGCACGUAGGCGGACUUUUAAGUCAGGGGUGAAAUCACGGGGCUCCACCCCGGAACUGCCUUUGAUACUGGAGGUCUUGAGUAUGGUAGAAGUGAGUGGAAGUCCGAGUGUAGAGGUGAAAUUCGUAGAUAGUCGGAGGAACACCAGUGGCGAAGGCGGCUCACUGCACCAUUACUGUCGCUGCGGUGAGAAAGCGUGGGGGGCAAACAGG
rnacentral:rRNA from 1 species